UCUCCUACCCAAGCUGGGCACACAGUCAGGAGCCCACACAGUAGCGGGCACAAAAGCCAGGACCCCUGGCCCUGGAGUAGAAGGGUCAGAAAUAUUGGCAGGUACCGGGGAAUAAUGGGAGCCGACUGGAUGCCACAACCCGAGAGAGCUGGAAGGAGCUGAUGGCUGUCCUUCAUAUAGCAGGACCUCCCUAAGAGGACAUGAAGGCACUGCACGCGUGUGAUCCACAGACAUACAAGCAGGCAAAACACCCAUACAUAUAAAAUAAUGAAGAUGAUGAUAGGAAAAACUUAAAAAAAGAAGAAGAAGAAGAAGAAAAAGAAAAAGAAAAAGAAAAAGAAGAAGAAGCUGAGCAAGUCACAAGGAGCAAGCCAGUAAGCCGCCUUCUCUCAUGGCCUCUGCUUCAGCUCCAGCCCUGGCUUCCCUCCAAGACUGACUUCAAAAGAUGGUGACAGACCCCACUUGACCCCAGAGGGGGAACGUGCCCUGGGAAUGGGUGACACCACCAGCUGAGCCCCUCAGGAAGACAUUCUGGGAGACCACAGGAAAAAACAAAGGACAGAACUCUAACUAACCGUAAAAUCAGACACAAACAACUGUCACGAGAACAGAUCUCGGGCUGAUGGCUCAGUGGAUAAAGGCGCUUGUCCCCAAGCCGAGUGACCUGAAUUCAGCCCCCAGGAGCUCCGUGGUAGACAAGAACCAGCCCUCAGAUAUCAUCCUCUGACCUCCACGCUCGCUCAUGCUGUGAUUCCCCCAACACACCAAUAAAAUGUAAAAUGAUAGCAAAUUCUGAAAAUGAGAUCGAAAUAAA